AAUAUUAAAGCAAUUUGCAUAUAGUUUCGACCUAUAUAAAACUUGAAAGCUUA
rnacentral:tRNA from 1 species